rnacentral:lncRNA from 1 species
AGUUUUCCCUGUACAAGCUCUCGCCUGCCGCCAUGUAAACGUUCUUUGCUCCUGCUUCGUCUUCUGCCGUGAUUGUGAGGCCUCCCCAGCCAUGUGGAACUACUCAUCACUCACUGCAGAUGUUACUUUAAGACAUUCUGGAGCAGCGUCAUGUGCAGGAACAAUAAGGAAGUGAGUGCUUUUGUAAUUCCUGAACAACUGUGUCUUACACUUACUAAGUUCUCUUGCCUGCCACCAUGUAAGAUAUGCUUUUACUCUUCCGCCUUCCACCGUGACUGUGAGGCCUCCCCAGCCAUGUGAAACUGCCUUUGAGCUUAUACUGAAUUAUACCACCAGCUUUCCUAGGUCUUGAAGCUUACAGACAGCAGAUCUUGGGACUUCUCAGGCACCAUAAUCAAUCAUAGAUAAAUGAUCCAAUGAUUCGGAACUUGAAAAGUGGUAGCUUUAUGAAUUCUCCUUAAGAAGAAACCUGUGCCCUGAUCUUGCCUACUCACCCAAAGGCACUGUGAGAUAGCAUCAAAGGAACAGCUAGUAAGAGACACAGAGCCAGAAAUCAGGGAAGUAAAAUACACUUGACAUCUACGUUCGGAAAGAAAUUUUAGGAGGCAGAAGCAAAUGGAUCAGAAGCUGCUUAUAUUUUUGCAAGAUUACCAAAGAAACCAUUGGUGGAGAAAGUUCUGUGACCAACUUGUCUGAGUCUAGUAAGAUUGAACGCUCACACACAAGUUUCAUGAAGUGGGUUUGAUACUUACAGAUAAGCAGCAAGGACCAACAGAAGCUGAUGAUCUAUGGUGAACUUUUUCCCAAGGCUCCGGAAAGCUGCCUAAAGUAGAUGGAGUCUUCUCUGUGUGUGCCCCACUGGUCCUGCAGUUGAAGGAUCCGGUAAAGCAGCCUGCCCUUGGUUUUAUACUCCAGAGGAACGUGAUUCGCUGGACUAAAGCAUUGAAGUGCAUCCUGUUUCCGGGGGGCACUGGAACAGAGCCUGGUCUGUUCUAGCCAGUCCCUUUCUAUCUCAGGAUAACAUUCUACAGUUAUUCUUGAGAACUAUAAUCAAAUAAGCAGGGAGAACUGGGAAAGCAGAGGCUCAUUGUGGAACCCUCAAGGAGCAUGGGGUCGUCUUCAUCCCUCAGUUUAUAAAUGGCCAAGGAGAGUAAUGCAACAAAAACUUCUCAGAGUUAAAAGCCAGAGUUCCUAAAGAACCGUGGACAAAGGGUUCUGUCUAGUGGGCAGAAUUCAUCCAGCGAAGGAAAUUUGGAACCCAGGUUUUCCCAACCUACAUCUACAAAAUGGAAUGGGUCUGAUUCGCAAGUUUUCAGAGAAAGAAGCCAACCUUAAUCAGACUGUGAUAUGAUGAGGAAAUAAAACUUGCUGUGCUAA